rnacentral:misc_RNA from 1 species
UGCAGAAUCCCGUGAACCAUCGAGUCUUUGAACGCAAGUUGCGCCCGAAGCCAUUAGGCCGAGGGCACGUCUGCCUGGGCGUCACGCAUCGCGUCGCCCCCCAUCCAUGUGCACAACACUGGUUGAGGGGCGGAUAUUGGCCUCCCGUGUGCCUCGGCGUGCGGCUGGCCCAAAUGCGAUCCCUCGGCGACUCAUGUCACGACAAGUGGUGGUUGAUAACUCAAUCUCUUGCGCCGUCGUGCCACUGCGUCGUCCGUAUGGGCAUCCAUCAACGACCCAACGGUGAAGGUGCCUCACGGCGCCCCACCUUCGACCGCGACCCCAGGUCAGGCGGGAUUACCCGCUGAGUU